GCGUCUCUGUAGCGGCGGAGAGCAGAUCGAAGAUAACAGAUUUAGCGUCUCUGUAGCGGCGGAGAGCAGAUCGAAGAUAGCAGAUUUGGCGUCUCUGUAAUUGUCAGAGGGCAGAUCGAAGAUAGCAGAUUUGGCAUCUCUGUAUUGGUAGAGAGCAGAUCGAAAAUAACAGAUUGGUGUUCCCGAGUUUUCAAGAAGCAAGUUGAAGAUAGCCAAUUUGACACUCCUGAAGACAUCAGAAUACCUUUAGGGAAGAUGAGGAUCAAGACUUUGAAACUUAGCCAGACCGGGCAAAUUUGGCCCUUUUAUGGUCUUUGCUCUAUUUUCGUUGUACGACAAUGAGCAAAGAGGGGCAGCUGUAAUGGGCCAAAUUCGUCCGGGCCCAACAACCAAAAACCAAAAUUAAAAAUAAAUAAAUAAAUAAAUAACCACAGUCCAUCAAUAAUAGUCCAUUAGCCCAAACUAGCCCAAACAAUUAAAAAACAACUAAUCUAAACCAAAUUGUUAAUAGUCCAAGUCUCUUUAUUACAUUAGCCCAAUACUCAUCAGCCCAAUUAACAAAUCCCUAACCCAGUUACAUGAUCCAUAGCCCAAAACUGAUAUUAACCUAGACCCAAAAAAUAAAGCCCGAUAGGCCUAAUCUUUUGAAAAUUCUUGGAAACCCUAACCCUAGCCCCAUUCGCUCAACGCCGCAAACCAGCCCCCUAGCACUGUACACUCCGUACCACCCUUGUACGCCUCCGUACGCCACCCUCGUGCCUCCACAUCGCCCCGUACCUGCAAACAAAAACAAACAAACGACGGCAGGACAACAGAAAUAGAAGCAAAAAGAAAAACAAUAGGAGGAAUUUCUUUGUAUUAUUUUCCUUUGAUUGCGGCUAUAAAGCCAUUCCUUUUUAUUGUAACUGAAGAUACGAACAGAUUCAACAAAAAAAGAGCAAUCAAAUAUAAAAAAACAAUCAAGGUGAUUUUCCGAUUCAAAUCUCGGAUUUCUUUUAGUUUCAUUCAUCUGGGUUUUGUAUUCAUAUAUUCGAAAGAAAAAAAAGGAGCUUACCUUCGUUUUUGGUUCCCUCGAAUCCUCACUGGCUUCGUUGCAAUCGGAGUUUGGGUGUUGAUUCUGAGACAUUUGAGCGUAGCCUUAGAUUUGUGGUUGGACGGAGCUGGAUUAGGCUUUAGCGUGAUGACCGGCGGCUAAACAUGGAGGCCAAACGGCAGUCCAAGGGCGCCUCUUGAUUCGAUCGAAUGAGAGGGGAAGGGAAGGGGCUUUAGGAUCUGUUUGGUUUUCUUUUCAAAUGGCCAAGAAUCAGUUUAGGGUUUGUUUAAAU
rnacentral:lncRNA from 1 species